rnacentral:lncRNA from 1 species
AUGCCUCCGCGACGCGUUGAUGUUCCAGGUGGUACACUAUCUUAGAAAAAUGGCUCUAACUCUUUACCUGAGUAUCGGAUUUAGGCAAAUUUUAUAUCGUUGGAAAGCUGACAGAAUUUCCUAGGCAAUGGUAAGCUCUAAAUUAAAAAAUACUGAGUAUUUAGAAAAAUUUAUAUAGGAUAACCCAUGUACUGAGGGUUGAUUUACAUUAUUGAAAUACGGGGUAUUAGAAUAUCUCUCCCUUGGGAACAUUCAUCCUUGAAUGAGACUGAUUUGGCUAAGAAACACUGAUAGAAUGAGUUUACACACUGAACAUGCAUAUUUGAUCCAUGAGUACAUAGCUGAACUGAUUCAUGAAUGCAUGAUUAUCAUAGAGAUAAUAUGCAAUGGUAAAUAAUACCAAGUUUAUAACUGUGACUGAACAUGGAACUAAGUAAAGCUAAGAAAGACUGUUACCUUAAACUAAAUCUAAAUUUGCGGAGAAGAGGUGAGGAUACUUUGUCUGCAUAACUGCCUCUGCUUCC